GAAUAGAUCUGUUGGUUAGAGCGUGGUGCUGAUAAUGCCAAGGUUGAAGGUUCGAUCCUUUUAAGGGACA